rfam:Felis catus isolate Cinnamon breed Abyssinian chromosome B3, whole genome shotgun sequence.
ACCUGGGUGGCUCAGUCAGUUAAGCAUCUGACUUCAGCUCAGAUUAUCAUCUCACAGUUCGUGAGUUUGAGUCCCACAUCAGGUG